rnacentral:rRNA from 1 species
CCGUUGCCGGCGACGGCGCACGGUGAGUAACACGUAUGCAACCUGCCCGUGGCAGGGGGAUAAGCGGGGGAAACCCCGUCUAAUACCGCGUAACGCGGCCUAGGGACAUCCCAAGGCCGCCAAAGGAGCAAUCCCGGCCACGGAUGGGCAUGCGGCGCAUUAGCUAGUCGGCGGGGUAACGGCCCACCGAGGCGACGAUGCGUAGGGGUUCUGAGAGGAAGGCCCCCCACACUGGUACUGAGACACGGACCAGACUCCUACGGGAGGCAGCAG